rnacentral:tRNA from 1 species
GGGUCGUUAGCUCAGUUGGUAGAGCAGUNNCGCAGGUUCGAAUCCUGCACGACCCACCA